rnacentral:rRNA from 1 species
AACGCGAAGAACCUUACCUGGGUUUGACAUGCACAGGACGCAUCCAGAGAUGGGUGUUCCCUUGUGGCCUGUGUGCAGGUGGUGCAUGGCUGUCGUCAGCUCGUGUCGUGAGAUGUUGGGUUAAGUCCCGCAACGAGCGCAACCCUUGUCUCAUGUUGCCAGCACGUAAUGGUGGGGACUCGUGAGAGACUGCCGGGGUCAACUCGGAGGAAGGUGGGGAUGACGUCAAGUCAUCAUGCCCCUUAUGUCCAGGGCUUCACACAUGCUACAAUGGCCGGUACAAAGGGCUGCGAUGCCGUGAGGCUUAGCGAAUCCUUUUAAAGCCGGUCUCAGUUCGGAUCGGGGUCUGCAACUCGACCCCGUGAAGUCGGAGUCGCUAGUAAUCGCAGAUCAGCAACGCUGCGGUGAAUACGUUCCCGGGCCUUGUA